CUCGGAGUUUGAUCCUGGCUCAGAUUGAACGCUGGCGGAAUGCUUUACACAUGCAAGUCGAACGGUAGAGGGGGCAACCCCUUGAGAGUGGCGAACGGGUGAGUAAUAUAUCGGAACGUGCCCAGUCGUGGGGGAUAACGUAGUGAAAAUUACGCUAAUACCGCAUACGAUCUAAGUGGAUAGAAGGGCGGGUAUCGACAAGCCUCGCGCGAUUGGAGCGGCCGAUAUCAGAUUAGGUAGUUGGUGGUAAGGUAACGCUACCAACCG
rnacentral:rRNA from 1 species